GGGGAAAACAGAAUGAGAGGUUGUAAUCAGGGGGAAACAGAAUGAGAGGUUGUAAUCAGGGGGAAACAGAAUGAGAGGUUGUAAUCAGGGGAAAAACAGAAUGAGAGGUUGUAAUCAGGGGGAAACAGAAUGAGAGGUUGUAAUCAGGGGAAAACAGAAUGAGAGGUUGUAAUCAGGGGAAAAACAGAAUGAGAGGUUGUAAUCAGGGGAAACAGAAUGAGAGGUUGUAAUCAGGGGAAAACAGAAUGAGAGGUUGUAAUCAGGGGAAAACAGAAUGAGAGGUUGUAAUCAGGGAAAACAGAAUGAGAGGUUGUAAUCAGGGGA